CUAGCGGCAGGCCUAACACAUGCAGGUCGAGGGGUAACAUUGGAGUUUUGCUUCAGAUGACGACCGGCGCCCGGGUCCGUAACGCGUAUACAAUCUACCUUUUGGCNNAGGGAUAGCCCAGAGAAAUUUGGAUUAAUCCCUCAUAGUAUACACUACUUUCAUGAGUUAUGUAUUAAAGGUUACGGCAAAAGAUGAGUAUGCGUCCUAUUAGCUAGAUGGUAAGGUAACGGCUUACCAUGGCAACGAUAGGUAGGGGCCCUGAGAGGGGGAUCCCCCACACUGGUACUGAGACACGGACCAGACUCCUACGGGAGGCAGCAGUGAGGAAUAUUGGACAAUGGAGGCAACUCUGAUCCAGCCAUGCCGCGUGCAGGAUGACUGCCCUAUGGGUUGUAAACUGCUUUUAUACAGGAAGAAACAUCUCUACGUGUAGAGACUUGACGGUACUGUAAGAAUAAGGAUCGGCUAACUCCGUGCCAGCAGCCGCGGUAAUAC
rnacentral:rRNA from 1 species